UAACGUUAAUGAUUACAUUUUUUUGGGUUAAAAAUUAGACUGACCUGAUUUAUUUAUUAUAUAAACGAAGUUAUAUACAAUAUCCUUAGCCCAAAGUUCUAAGCCCAUAAAAAUUAGGAAAGAACAAAAAAAAGAAAAAAGAAACCAAGUGACAAACAUAGAUGGAAAAAGAAGUAUAAAAGUGAUAAAAACAAUGCUCCUUCUAGCUUCUGGUAACAUCUUCUCCUUCCCUCUUUCCACAGUGUGCGUGAAGAUUCUCCUAAGAUCGAUACCAGACACUCAUCAUCAGUGGAGAGAAGGGGUGAACGAACAUCAGAUGAAUGAUUCUUCUGUCAACAAGAACCAAUAAUAUUGAUAAAGCCAUUUGAUUCUCAUUAUCUUCAACAACGAAGGCGUUGAAUGAUUUGAAGGGGAUGUUCAACUAUAGUUUUCCAUUCUCUUGAAUAUUUUUUUAGUUGUCGUGGUCAAUAUUAUUCAGUUUCCCUAUGUAGAGUUUUUAACACAAUUAUUUAAAAAAUCAUUUUCACUUCG